GACGAACGCUGGCGGCGUGCUUAACACAUGCAAGUCGAACGGCAGCGCGGACUUCGGUCUGGCGGCGAGUGGCGAACGGGUGAGUAAUGUAUCGGAACGUGCCCAGUAGCGGGGGACAACCACUCGAAAGAGUGGCUAAUACCGCAUACGCCCUACGGGGGAAAGGGGGGGAUCGCAAGACCUCUCACUAUUGGAGCGGCCGAUAUCGGAUUAGCUAGGUGGUGGGGUAAAAGUCUACCAAGGCGACGAUCCGUAGCUGGUUUGAGAGGACGACCAGCCACACUGGGACUGAGACACGGCCCAGACUCCUACGGGAGGCAGCAGUGGGGAAUUUUGGACAAUGGGGGAAACCCUGAUCCAGCCAUUCCGCGUGUGCGAUGAAGGCCUUCGGGUUGUAAAGCACUUUUGGCAGGAAAGAAAUCGUGUGGGUUAAUACCCUGCGCGGAUGACGGUACCUGCAGAAUAAGCACCGGCUAACUACGUGCCAGCAGCCGCAGUAA
rnacentral:rRNA from 1 species